rnacentral:lncRNA from 1 species
CAGGAAUUUGCAUUUAUGAUAUUCCUCCUCCUACCCCAUCCCUGAGUUGUGUGCAAGUGGCAAGAAACAGGAGGUGUGAUUGUAAACUAGUAAGGUCAGGAUCGUGUGAUUGUAAAGUAGUCAGGUCAGGAUCGUGUGAUUGUAAACUAGUCAGGUCAGGGUCGUGUGAUUGUAAACUAGUCAGGUCAGGGUCGUGUGAUUGUAAACUAGUCAGGUCAGGAUCGUGUGAUUGUAAACUAG